GACGAACGCUGGCGGCGUGCCUAAUACAUGCAAGUAGAACGCUGAAGAGAGGAGCUUGCUCUUCUUGGAUGAGUUGCGAACGGGUGAGUAACGCGUAGGUAACCUGCCUGGUAGCGGGGGAUAACUAUUGGAAACGAUAGCUAAUACCGCAUAAAAUGGAUUAUCGCAUGAUAAUCCAUUGAAAGGUGCAAAUGCAUCACUACCAGAUGGACCUGCGUUGUAUUAGCUAGUUGGUGGGGUAACGGCUCAUCAAGGCGACGAUACAUAGCCGACCUGAGAGGGUGAUCGGCCACACUGGGACUGGGACACGGCCCAGACUCCUACGGGAGGCAGCAGUAGGGAAUCUUCGGCAAUGGACGGAAGUCUGACCGAGCAACGCCGCGUGAGUGAAGAAGGUUUUCGGAUCGUAAAGCUCUGUUGUAAGAGAAGAACGAGUGUGAGAGUGGAAAGUUCACACUGUGACGGUAUCUUACCAGAAAGGGACGGCUAACUACGUG
rnacentral:rRNA from 1 species